GCCAGUUUCUCUUCUCUUCUCCAUUUCUUUUUUCUUUUUCAUCUUCCCAUAGAGCCAACGCCGCAACCACUCACCAGUCUCCAUUACAACCUCCACCACCACAAUUAGCACCAUGUUGUUCGUCUUACUCUCUUGUUUUUAAUUUUGUUUUUACUUUUCUUCUUCAAAAGCAAGGAGCAGAAGAAAUUAUUACUCUUUCUUCAUCACCAUCUGGAAUAAGGGUCCGAGAUGUUUUGCUAUGAAGUAAUUACUAAAUAUGAUGGAAGAGAUCCAUCGGGAUGUCAUUGAAAAUACAAGGCAGAUUCAGCAACAGAUGUUGAUAGAAGCAGAAAUCUAAAUGAUUUUGAUAAAGCUGCAUUAUCAAGACCAUUAGAUGAAACACAUCAAACUCGGUUGUCCUGGUGAACAGAAGAAUUAGAAAUAUGUUCAUUGUAGUAGGAAAAUAUUUGUACGGAUUGUUUGAUUGUAUUGAUUAUCAAAACUCAGAUCUGUUUGGUGUAUUUGGAUCCUUUUUUUUUCUGUA